UACGUAGGGGGCAAGCGUUGUCCGGAAUCAUUGGGCGUAAAGAGCGCGUAGGCGGCCCGGUAAGUCCGCUGUAAAAGUCCAGGGCUCAACCCUGGAAAGCCGGUGGAUACUGUCGGGCUAGAGUCCGGAAGAGGCGAGUGGAAUUCCUGGUGUAGCGGUGGAAUGCGCAGAUAUCAGGAGGAACACCGAUGGCGAAGGCAGCUCGCUGGGACGGUACUGACGCUGAGGCGCGGAAGCGGGGGGAGCGAACAGG
rnacentral:rRNA from 1 species